UGCUCUGUGGCUUAGUUGGUUAAAACGCCAGACUAGCGAUACGAAGCCGUGGAUUCGAAUCCCUCCAGAACAA
rnacentral:tRNA from 1 species